AGUACACUAAAUAACAAUAUGGUUUGAGCUUGAAACAAGAUGCAUCAAAAUGAACUGCAAGAAUUGACGGAUUUAGAGACAUGGAACAAUGCUCCCAUUAUGUAAAAAAAGACAUCAUUGAAGUCUUCACAAGUCUUAUCGUUCUUAUAUUAUUCUUGUAUCCCUUGAAUAUGUCAAACUUUUAUUUAGUAUUGAGUAAAAAUCACACCAAGUCAUUUCAGUCAUCUUGUGAGAUUAAGUCAAAUCAAGAGCUGUGAACAGACACAAACACAUUCAAGUACCUUGGACAUUUUGGUGACCCCGGAGAUGAACAAUGAACAUCAUUGAUUGAAUUCUGGUACUUGAAUGUGUUUGUUCACUGCUCUUGACUUACUUAAUCUCACAAGAUUACUGACUUCGAUGACUUGGUGAUUUUUACUCAAUACUUGCGAGUUCGACACAUUCAAGGGACACAAGAAUAAUAAAACAAUAAUACACUUAAUAACAACGAUACAAUAGUCCUGUGAAAACUUCAAAAAAUUAUUUUUUUACACAUGGGAGCAUUGUCCCAUGUCUCUAAAUCUGUCAGUAUUUCCUUGCAGUUCAUCUUCUUGCAUCUUGUUUCAAGCUCAAACCAUAUUGUUAUUUAGUGUAC